rnacentral:lncRNA from 1 species
CUUCUUUUCUUUCUCAUCCUUUGAGUUCUACAGAUUAUUUUUUAAACUUCAUAAUUUUAAUUCUGGUGACUUGAUUCACCUAAAUUUAAACAGAUUUUUUCUUUUUUUCCCCAUAAUAAUUUCCAUUUCUAUGGGAACUGUUGAGUCACAGCCUGAACCACUGAUUGAUCACCUGAGGACAGGACUGAAUCAGCCCUGGGAACAUAGAUGAAGGCUGUAGACCCCAUUUAAGGGCUGACUGCCACUAGGAAGGAUCUCUUUCUGGAGAUCCCUCUUCUGUGAAGUCUUUUCUGUGAACCUAGAUCUUUGGAUACAGGUGAGCAUUCUUUCCUUGUUUGUUUCUUUUCCCAUUUCCACCAUGAUGAUCUUUCCAGCUGUAACGCCGACUGUAACACUGUUUAUACUUCUUCAUCACAAUUCCUAAUGUCUGCGUUGAAUGGCAAGCAUGUACUUAUUGGAACAGAAUUAGAGGUUAUCCUUUAACAUAAAAUGCCUAUUAGUCAAAGGCAAUUACAUUUAAUACUUUUUGGGGCUAAGUUACAGCAGGCUCUUGAUGCUUAAAAGCUGUUAAUGUGUUUCAGAAAUGUAGUGGCACACGUUUGCGAAGUGCUUCCUUGUUUUUAUUUUUACUAGGUGUAAUUCAGUUUUUGAAAAGUCCUUGAGUGUUGGCUGACAUCUGGUUUAGGCUCUUUUCCCAUCUGUGGAAAGAACAAAAGAGAGAAGGGAAAACAGGAUUUUCUGUAAAAAGGAUUCAAGAAGGCAAAAUUCAGAGCUUGGUGUUUGGAUCCAUAUUCCAGGCCAGCCUCAAAAUCAGAUUGGACAUUUAAAGGUGGCUUUCCUCUAUUACGUGUUCUCCUGUCACACAUCCUAUCAGCUUACACUAGAAAGUGUCCCUUCUGGUAGUCUCCAAGCACAAGGGAACUGGAGACGGUGAUACUCAUUUGCAAUUACCUUUGUGAACUGCUGUAAUUACGCACUUGGAAAAUGACAGCAUUUUACUUUUCCUCAUUGUUCAAAGAACAGAUGACUGUGGGCAAGAAGUACCUUGCAAAGGCUCUGAAUUACACUUAAGUAUUUGCUGUUCAAUGAUACUUAAUCCUGUGUUAUUACUUUUACUAUUUUUAAGUUUUUAGUCGAGGGUUUUUUUUGUCUUUUUUUUCUUUUUUCUUAAGCCACUGGAGUGUCUGAUUGUUCUGGCUUCCAAUUCCAGUUAAUGUACUGACUGCUGAGUUACCAAAGGUAUUGUGUAUGUACACAUGCCAUAUAAACCCAUCUCU